rnacentral:rRNA from 1 species
CCUACGGGUGGCAGCAGUAGGGAAUAUUGCUCAAUUGGGGCAACCCUGAUGCAGCCACGCCGCGUGGAUGAUGAAGGUUUUCGGAUUGUAAACUCCUUUUGUUAGAGAAGAUAAUGACGGUAUCUAACAAAUAAGCACCUGCUAACUCCGUGCCAGCAGCCGCGGUAAUACGGAGGGUGCAAGCGUUACUCGGAAUCACUGGGCGUAAAGUGCGCGUAGGCGGGCUAGCACGUCAGAUGUGAAAUCCUCUGGCUUAACCAUAGAACUGCAUUUGAAACUGUUAUUCUAGAGUGUGGGAGAGGUAGGUAGAAUUCCAGGUGUAGCGGUGAAAUCCGUAGAGAUCAAGAGGAAUA